rnacentral:rRNA from 1 species
UGGGGGAUAUUGCACAAUGGGGGAAACCCUGAUGCAGCGACGCCGCGUGAGUGAAGAAGUAUUUCGGUAUGUAAAGCUCUAUCAGCAGGGACGAAAGAAAUGACGGUACCUGAAUAAGAAGCACCGGCUAAAUACGUGCCAGCAGCCGCGGUAAUACGUAUGGUGCAAGCGUUAUCCGGAUUUACUGGGUGUAAAGGGAGCGCAGGCGGCAAGGCAAGUCUGAUGUGAAAACCCGAGGCUCAACCACGGGAGUGCAUUGGAAACUGUCUAGCUAGAGUAUCGGAGGGGUAAGCGGAAUUCCUAGUGUAGCGGUGAAAUGCGUAGAUAUUAGGAAGAACACCGGUGGCGAAGGCGGCUUACUGGACGAAAACUGACGCUGAGGCUCGAAAGCGUGGGGAGCAAACAGG